rnacentral:lncRNA from 1 species
GUUUGUUACUGUAACAAGACGAGUCUUGUUCCCCGUGGUAGACUGUCUAGUUACGAAAAUCCGUUAGAAAUGACGGUUACAAGGCCGAGUACACUGGAAGAUUCUCUCUCGCAGCUCGAAUCGUCUCGCCUAAAUAACACACUCUCGUGUCGCUCGUGUUGAAGAAGUGCCGUCAUUUUAAAUUUCCCACUCUUAAUUUGAAAUACCCUCCUAUUUUUACUCGCAAAAAACGCGGGAACCAGCGCGAGGUGCGAGGUAUCGCGUAGAACGAGGAUUGGGAGGUUAGUUACCGCCAUUGCCUUGCCAUUACGUCUCUCGAUUCUUUCGCUUGUCUUUCGUGUUGCUAAGUGAACGGUGUGCAGUUGUAUUUACGGUAUUUUGUGAUUUGUGUCAGUACUGUCAGAGGAUGUACCAUGGAUGAGGGUCUCCAAGAUCUGCUGAAGGAAUGGGGGCUAUCUCCAGCCGUGAUUAAGAAGUUCGAAGAUAAUGACAUUACUACAAAAGACCAUUUGAGACUAAUGAAAAAUUGAAGACGUGGAGCACCUACUUACUCUCGGACAGAAAAUAAACUUCAGAGGAAAAUUGGAGGCAUAUAAUCAAUUGGAUAAUGCCCCAGUAGUAAUCGAAGUAGUACAGCUAUAGCUGGAAGCGAAGGUGAACUAAGCAGCUUUAAUUGGGUGAAGAAAAGCAGUGAACCAUUUGAGACCGCAAUUGCACAUUGGAAAAAUUGUGUGGAAUACAGAAUAAAUUUGUUAAAAGGAGACGAUCAAACGCCUGCCAAAUACAUGUCAAAUUUCAUUUGUCUCAAAAGCAACUUAGGGUACAGAUUUCUCAUAUCAGAUUUUAAACAUCUAUAUCCUGGAAAAGAGGACCUGUUAUUUAACAGAUGGCCGGAUUGGAGGGAAAGAAUUAUUAAACAUCACCAGCAAAAAGCACAAGAAGAUAUCAAUCACCAAAAUUUGCUAUUGCAUUUAGAACUGCUAAAUUUACCUGAUGAUGAACAACUCCUCACUAUCUGCGCGUUCAAGCUGCUAACAUUAAGUUUGUUGCCAAAAUCUAUCCAAGGGCCCAAGAAAGCAUGGAAGCCUGCAUCCAAGUCUGAACUUUUAAAUUUUGUUUUCAUGCAAAAAUCAACAUUUCCAGAUCUACAAUCUGCCAUUGAGGAUAAAAUCAAGACAUUUGCAGAAUAUGGGCUUACAGUCCAGCCCUGUCCAGCAGUGAUUAAUGAUAACGGUAACAUCCAAUCAUACGCCAUAAUCAACAAAAUCUUCUAUCGAGUUGAAUCGCCGAUCCAAGCCCUGGAUGUUGCCUUCAAAGCAUGUCAUGCACUUCACGCAGAUUAUCCGCAUGAGGCAAAAUAUUCUUAUCUGUUUUUGCAGAAAAUAAUCUUUGAUAUAUCAACUAAGUUUGAUGGCACUUGCUCAAGUGUUCGCAAGCUAGAAAAAGACCUGUUACGUCAGGUUCAAGGAGAUUAGAUUCCUUAUCUCUCAAUUCAGAUACGUAUGAUUGGAAUGAUUUAAUUUUGCUUUUGUAUUUUUUCUUUCUAUAUUUCUCUUUUUUUUCUUUUUUGGCAAAAU